rnacentral:misc_RNA from 1 species
UUUCCGUAGGUGAACCUGCGGAAGGAUCAUUAUUGUAUAACCGAGGUGCGAGGGCUUUCGAUGAUACGAAAGGUUGCGCAGGCCGGAGCGCCCCCGCACACACCCAUCCCACCCCUACGUGCACCACCGCGCCGGUACCCCUUUGGCAUGUUAGGAGGGGGGCUUUCGACUUCACACAAACUUUAAAUGUAGUGUAAAAGGUAUUUUUUUUUUUUGCGAGAACGAAAUCAAAACAACUCUGAACAACGGACCUCUUGGCUCCCGUCUCGAGGAAGAACA